CAUACGACUCUCGGCAACAGAUAUCUCAGCUCUUGCCUCGAUAAAGAACGUAGCGAAAUGCGAUUCUUGGUGUGAAUUGCAGAAUCUCGUGAACCAUCGAGUCUUUGAACGCAAGUUGUGCCCAAAUCCAUCAGGCUGAAGGCACGACUGCCUGGGCAUCACAC
rnacentral:rRNA from 1 species